GGAGGCAGCAGUGGGGAAUUUUCCGCAAUGGGCGAAAGCCUGACGGAGCAAUACCGCGUGAGGGAGGAAGGCUCUUGGGUCGUAAACCUCUUUUCUCAGGGAAGAANAAAAUGACUGGUACCUGAGGAAUAAGCAUCGGCUAACUCCGUGCCAGCAGCCGCGGUAAUACGGAGGAUGCAAGCGUUAUCCGGAAUGAUUGGGCGUAAAGCGUCCGUAGGUGGUUAGGCAAGUCUGCUGUCAAAGCUCGGGGCUUAACUCCGAAUCGGCGGUGGAAACUGCCAGACUAGAGUGCGGUAGGGGUAGAGGGAAUUCCCGGUGUAGCGGUGAAAUGCGUAGAUAUCGGGAAGAACACCGGCGGCGAAGGCGCUCUACUGGGCCGUAACUGACACUGAGGGACGAAAGCUAGGGGAGCGAAAGGGAUUAGAUACCCCUGUAGUCCUAGCUGUAAACGAUGGAUACUAGGUGUUGCCUGUAUCGACC
rnacentral:rRNA from 1 species